rnacentral:misc_RNA from 1 species
GAUGAAGAACGUAGCGAAAUGCGAUAAGUAAUGUGAAUUGCAGAAUUCAGUGAAUCAUCGAAUCUUUGAACGCACCUUGCGCCCUUUGGCUAUUCCGAAGGGCAUGCCUGUUUGAGUAUCAUGAACACCUCAACUCUCAUGGUUUGCCAUGAUGAGCUUGGACUUGGGGGUUUUGCUGGCCUUCGGUCGGCUCCUCUCAAACGGAUCAGCUUUCCAGUGUUUGGUGGCAUCACGGGUGUGAUAACUAUCUACGCCUGUGGUUUUCUGCCAGAUAACCUUCAGCGAUGGAGGUUCGCUGGGGCUCAUAAAUGUCUCUCUUCAGUGGAGACAGCUUUUUGGACGUUUGAUCUCAAAUCAGGUAGGAAUACCCGCUGAACUUAAGCAUAUCAAUAAGCGGAGGA